UCCCUGGUGGCUAAGAUGGUAAAGAACCCGCCUGCAGUGCAGGAGAUCCAGGUUCGAUCCCUGGGUUGGGAA
rfam:TPA: Bos taurus chromosome 7, whole genome shotgun sequence.